UAUGAACUCACAUACCUAGUAGGGAUCACCCCCGACCGAUUUCCACGACGAUCUUUGACGGAAACUCCUUGAUCUCCUCUUCUUCUUCUCUUCUUUCUCUCUUCUUCUCUUCUUCACUCAAGAACCCUAACUCUUACUCUUUUAAAAUGGAACAAAAAUGAUCCACAAUAAGCCUAACACACAAUAUAACCUCAAAAGAAAUGGCUAGGGAAAAGACCAAAAUGCCCUUAAAAUUUCCGGACGGAUUCCCUGCCAACUGCCCAACUUUCAAAGGUCAUAACU
rnacentral:lncRNA from 1 species